rnacentral:rRNA from 1 species
AUUGAACGCUGGCGGCAUGCCUUACACAUGCAAGUCGAACGGUAACGCGGGGCAACCUGGCGACGAGUGGCGAACGGGUGAGUAAUGUAUCGGAACGUGCCCAGUUGUGGGGGAUAACUGCUCGAAAGAGCAGCUAAUACCGCAUACGACCUGAGGGUGAAAGCGGGGGAUCGCAAGACCUCGCGCAAUUGGAGCGGCCGAUAGCAGAUUAGGUAGUUGGUGGGGUAAAGGCUCACCAAGCCGACGAUCUGUAGCUGGUCUGAGAGGACGACCAGCCACACUGGGACUGAGACACGGCCCAGACUCCUACGGGAGGCGGCAGUGGGGAAUUUUGGACAAUGGACGCAAGUCUGAUCCAGCCAUGCCGCGUGCGGGAAGAAGGCCUUCGGGUUGUAAACCGCUUUUGUCAGGGAAGAAACGCUCUGGGUUAAUACCUCGGGGUAAUGACGGUACCUGAAGAAUAAGCACCGGCUAACUACGUGCCAGCCGCCGCAGUAAAAC